GUUUUACUGGUUUUACAUCUGUACAUAACUAAACUGUAUAUAACUUGAAUUGUGUUUGACCUCCAAUCAUGAAUGCAUGGCUUGUCAGGAAUGCACUCUUUAAUCCAUUCAGCCACCUUCUUAUCAGCAACUAAUUUAUUCUCUAUUGACUGUGCCUGAAAUGUGCUGGUACAGUAGUAUUCAUUGAUGCCUUUUGAAAUGGUAAUGUGAUUGUGUAAUAGGCUUGCAGCUUAAAUGCCCAGUCCCUAGAAAUAGGCCUCAGCUGGGAAAUUGUUAUGGCACACAGUUUAUCGAUGAGGCAUGCCUAAAAAAUUUAAAGGGGAGAACUCAAAAGCUGCAGAGGCAAAAGAAAGGAAAUCUGCACAGAAAGCAGAUGAGGCAGCUAGGAAACAGGCAGCAGAAGAAGACGCCUUCUGGGCAGAUGAUGAUAAGCAUAUUGUCAAAAAACAACAAAGGAAGGAUCAGCUGAGGAUAUUACACAAUGGCCUUUGUUCCCUGGACCAUUCUGUGAACAGCAGAACAUCACCAAUUGUGAUCUGCAGAAUGAGACAAUUAGCAAAUUUAACCAUGAUUUUGCACUAUCAAAAGGACUUGGACUACAUUGAAUGUUAAGUUUUUUUAUAUUAGUGAUGUUUUGUUGUAUUUUGUGAUGUCUUUAUUUGAGAAAAAAAGUCGAAAAUAAAAAUAUAUUUUUUGUGA